GUAGGUGGCAAGCGUUGUCCGGAAUUAUUGGGCGUAAAGCGCGCGCAGGGCGGUUCUUUAAGUCUGAUGUGAAAGCCCACGGCUCAACCGUGGAGGGUCAUUGGAAACUGGGGAACUUGAGUACAGAAGAGGAAAGCGGAAUUCCACGUGUAGCGGUGAAAUGCGUAGAGAUGUGGAGGAACACCAGUGGCGAAGGCGGCUUUCUGGUCUGUAACUGACGCUGAGGCGCGAAAGCGUGGGGAGCAAACAGGAUUAGAUACCCUGGUAGUCCACGCCGUAAACGAUGAGUGCUAAGUGUUAGGGGGUUUCCGCCCCUUAGUGCUGCAGCUAACGCAUUAAGCACUCCGCCUGGGGAGUACGGCCGCAAGGCUG
rnacentral:rRNA from 1 species